GAGCCACUGCUAUUGGGAUCCGAUUAAGCCAUGCGAGUCGAGGGGUUCGGCCCUCGGCAGACGGCUCAGUAACACGUGGAUAAUCUACCCUUAGGUGGAGGAUAACCUCGGGAAACUGAGAAUAAUACUCCAUAGGUCUAGAAUGCUGGAAUGCAUCUAGGCUAAAAGUUCAGGCGCCUAAGGAUGAGUCUGCGGACUAUCAGGUAGUAGUCAGGGUAAAGACCUGACUAGCCUACGACGGAUACGGGUUGUGAGAGCAAUUGCCCGGAGACGAUAUCUGAGACACGAUAUCGGGCCCUACGGGGCGCAGCAGGCGCGAAACCUUCACACUGUGCGAGAGCACGAUGAGGGGAUCCCAAGUGCUGGUUCGUAAGAGUCAGCUGUUUCUUUGUCUAAAAAACAGAGAGAGUAAGAGCUGGGUAAGACGGGUGCCAGCCGCCGCGGUAAUGCCUGCAGCUCAAGUGGUGGCCGCUAUUAUUGGGCCUAAAACGUUCGUAGCCGGUUUAGUAAAUGCUUGGGUAAAUUGUGUCGCUUAACGAUACGAAUACCGGGUAGACUGCUAAACUUGGGACCGGGAGAGGUUAGAGGUACUCCUGGGGUAGAGGGUGAAAUUCUGUAAUCCUGGGGGGACCACCAGUGGCGAAGGCGUCUAACCAGAACGGGUCUGACGGUGAGGGACGAAGCCCUGGGGCGCAAACCGGAUUAGAUACCCGGGUAGUCCAGGGUGUAAACGCUGCUCGCUUGAUGUUAGCUGGGCUCCGACCCACCUAGUGUCGGAGAGAAGUUGUUAAGCGAGCUGCCUGGGAAGUACGGUCGCAAGACUGAAACUUAAAGGAAUUGGCGGGGGGAGCACAAG
rnacentral:rRNA from 1 species